rnacentral:rRNA from 1 species
AAUCAACGCUGGCGGCGUGCCUAACACAUGCAAGUCGAACGCGAAAGUCCCGCAAGGGGCGAGUAGAGUGGCGCACGGGUGAGUAACACGUGGAUAACCUGCCUUCGAGUGAGGAAUAACCUUCCGAAAGGAGGGCUAAUACCGCAUAACACCUUGAGACAAAAGUUUUGAGGUUAAAAGGAGCAAUUCGCUGGAAGAGGGGUCCGCGCCUGAUUAGCUAGUUGGUGAGGUAACGGCUCACCAAGGCUGUGAUCAGUAGCCGUCCUGAGAGGGAGCACGGCCACACUGGAACUGAGACACGGUCCAGACUCCUACGGGUGGCUG